GGGGCCUCCCACAUGUGGGAUUUCUAAUCAAGCUUACUUCUCACACUAGUUUUGUUCCUCUUAGGUCAGGAUUACGAUUAUGAUGCCCAUGUUUACAACCAAGGAGAUGCAGGGUCAGUGCCCAGCAUCCACAGUCACAAAGCUCAUCCAUGGCAGAGGCUGAGAUGGCAGCGCAGGCGUGUCCAGCUCCAGGUCCACGUCCUCUGUUCACCACUACUUGGGGGCAGGGAGGGGGCCUGACACUGCCUUGGCUCUGUGCCUGGUCUCCUCCAUCUGGCUGGUUGACCUGGGACCCAUGCCAGCUCACCCCAUCAGGCCCAGCACUAGCAAUCUUGUCCUAAGAGCCCAGUGAAGGGCCAAGGAGGGAAGAAUGGACAUUUGCAGGCCCGAGAGAACAGAUGGUCACACGGGCCCACGCCAGGUGCACAGUGCAGCUGUCACCAUCAGCCUGGACUGAGGUGGAACCAAGAAGGGCAGAGAAGCAACUGAGGCCAGCAGAGGGGUGCAUGUGGGAGCACGUGCUGUAGGCCAGCGCCCUCACGCAGAAGAGCUCAGCAGGUCACAUCUCCUUUCAGGCAGGGAUGAUGGAUCCCUCCUUGAGAACAAGGCCCAGGGGCUCAGAAAACAUGCCUGAGGUCUCAGGCUAAAGGGUGGCAGAACUGGAGGUGAGCCAGGCCCUGGCUCCAAGGAGGUCCAGGGUGCUUCAUAGGUAGGAACUGCCCCCAGCCUCACCCCUCUGCUCUGUGGACCACAAUAGAGGGUGGUUGCCUCUGUCAGAUGCCUCAGAAGGCUGUCCCGUGAUGCUCAGCACACCUUUCAAAGAACAGAAACAGACUGCCUUUUGCUGAAGCUGCCAGACUGGUGGGCUCACUGCCCUCAGACCUGCUGGCUUGACCCAUCCUAUGCCGCUCUCUUUCCCCAGCCCUUACUCUGCAGCCCUUACACUACUGCUCCAGUUCCUCCUCUUCUCCCUGCCCCUUCUCCUCCAGGAAGCCUUCCCAGAUAGCCUCAUCCUACACCUACUCUUUUUCCUGGGAACACCAGUGGCACCCACUGCUUGUAUUAUUUAUGACCAGCCUUAUACUAGAAUCCCAACUCAUCUGGCUUGCUGGACUAUCAAGCACAGCUAUUUCAAACACCAUCCCACUGAAGAGCGCUUCUGGAGCAUGCACGCCUCUGUGAGCAGCCCAGAUGAAGAUGAGCUUUCGAAAUAGCCUGUUUUGUGGUUAGACCGUGUUUCACGUUAGAAUGCUCUUCCUGGCUGGCACUUGUAAGUGCUGCUCAGGAGUCCAUCCGGCAGGGAAGCACAGGCUGUCUCCUGUCACUGCACUUUGAGCACCUGCAGACAGUUACCUUGACCCUGAAGACAACUAUCUGCCAUGACAGUGUGGGAAGCCACGUCCAAUAUACUCUGUGGCUCUAUAAUUCUGGCCAGUUGCUUCUCUCCUCAACUCUUAUCCCCCUGCACGCCACCAUGCCUCUUCUGUAGGAGGUGGUGGCUUUAUUAUUUUGCUCAUUAAUCACUUGUUGGUCACUUAUUUAGAGAAGGUAUAGCUUAGAGAGAUGGACAUAUCCUCUGUGCCUAGCAGGCAUUUCGGCACAGGCCCUGCUACCCAGCUGCCGAGCAACUCCACACCAACCGCUCCCUCUCUGAGCUCGAGUCCUCAUCUCCAAAUGCGGGUAACAUAUGCUAAGUGGGCCCGAACUGCCUUGGCGUCUUCUUGUUUCCUCUGACCCAUCUGUGUUUUGGCCUUUCUUCUGGAUCUGCCCGGUUUCCCAGGCCCGUCAAUAAAGCAGCUCCCCUUUCCCUGAGCAUUGCUGCAGGGCGGGCACAGUGCUGAGUGCUUGUGAUGAAGAUUCUAGUCCAUCCCCGCCUCCCCCUCUACAGCAGGUACGGCUGUGGCUGGCAUCUAAUACUGGGAAUGCACAAGUAGAGCAGAGUGUUCUGUAUGCCAGGCCUGUGCACCUUUUCAUGGUCUUAUAGACUAGCCAGCUCCCUGAGGGUAGGGACACAGUGGCUGCUCCACA